rnacentral:ncRNA from 1 species
CCCUUUGUACACACCGCCCGUCGCUCCUACCGAUUGGAUGACUCGGUGAAAUCACCGGAUGCUUACGAGCAGAAAGUGAUUAAAUCACGUUAUCUAGAGGAAGGAGAAGUCGUAACAAGGUAACGGUAGGUGAACCUGCCGUUGGAUCAGUU